AUACGUAGGUGGCGAGCGUUAUCCGGAUUUAUUGGGCGUAAAGCGUCCGCAGCCGGUUUAUUAAGUCUAGAAUUAAAGCCUGGAGCUCAACUCCAGUUCGUUUUAGAAACUGAUAGACUCGAGUGUGGUAGAGGCAAACGGAAUUUCUAGUGUAGCGGUAGAAUGCGUAGAUAUUAGAAGGAACACCAGUGGCGAAGGCGGUUUGCUAGGCCACCACUGACGGUCAUGGACGAAAGCGUGGGGAGC
rnacentral:rRNA from 1 species